rnacentral:rRNA from 1 species
GACGUAGGGCGCGAGCGUUGUCCGGAUUUAUUGGGCGUAAAGAGCUCGUAGGCGGCUUGUUGCGUCGACCGUGAAAACCCGCGGCUUAACCAUGGGCUUGCGGUCGAUACGGGCGGGCUGGAGUUCGGUAGGGGAGACUGGAAUUCCUGGUGUAGCGGUGAAAUGCGCAGAUAUCAGGAGGAACACCGGUGGCGAAGGCGGGUCUCUGGGCCGAUACUGACGCUGAGGAGCGAAAGCGUGGGGAGCGAACAGG